UUUAAUUUUAUUCCUGAGUUGUCUGUCUCCUCUCUUGAAGCCCAAGGCAACAAGGGAAUGUGAACUGUGGUCAGCUCAUCACACGCUGUCCCUGCUGCUCCUGCCUGCUCUGGGGGAGGAUGCUUCACCUUCUUUUUCUCCUCCGGGGGGAGACAGACUCCACGAUCUUCCCCAACAAAUCCCUGCACCUGUGCUUGAAGUCUUUGAGGUCUCAGCUAAUGAAGUAGGUGCUAUUUAUAACUCUCCAAAUCUCCAACAGUUUUUGAUGAAAAACAGUCAGUCCUGACAGCAUCUGUGCCACAAAUAGUUCCUCAGGCUUGAACUUUAGACCAGCUCAGUUCAGAGAAGACACUCUGUCCUUUCUGCCUUCUCUUCCUCAUGUCAGAUGUUGUGUACCACAACAAUUUCACAUUUUCACUUCAAAAAACAGAAAAAAUCUGAGCCAUAAUGUCAACUGAAAACUUAGUAAUAAUUGCACCAAGUUACUCCCAAUCAAGUUUCUGUGGCCUGACGACUUCUGCUCAGCUGGAAUACAGAGAUUGUCAGCCUGCAUUGCCAAGGUGUUACGUGAAGCCAUACAGCAUCAGCUGCAUUCCCACAGUCACCACAGCUCACUUCAGCACGCUGGGCCAGGGAAUAUACACCAUCAGUCUUUGAGAAAUGUGGACAUAAUGGAGGGACCCGAUGUCUACAACUUUCAGAUCACAGAUACCAGUGACAUUUGCAAGAUUUAUCUAGAAAUGGAAAUUCUAUGUGGUAAAAGAACACAAGCCAUAUACAACUACAUGGAGUUGGACAAAACUUUUGUAACACUCAAAUUUGAUCAGCAGGAUGCAAAAGAAACAUUGAAUAAUGAGUGGUUGAUACUGAAUGGAGCCUAGCAAAC